rnacentral:tRNA from 1 species
AGCAGUGUGGAGCACCGGUAGCUCAUCUGGUUCGUACCCAGAAGGAAGCGGGUUCAAUUCCCGCCACUGCAACCA